UCUUUAGGUCUGGCAAUUGGAAUGAGAACAAUUUAAACCCCUUAUCGAGUAUCAAUUGGAGGGCAAGUCUGGUGCCAGCAGCCGCGGUAAUUCCAGCUCCAAUAGCGUAUAUUAAAGUUGUUGCAGUUAAAAAGCUCGUAGUUGGAUUUGUGGUGUGUCCAGUCGGCCUCUGCUCUUUGAGUGGUUGUGCUGUACUGGUCUGCCAUGUUUGGGUGGAAUCUGUGUGGCAUUAAGUUGUCGUGCAGGGGAUGCCCAUCGUUUACUGUGAAAAAAUUAGAGUGUUCAAAGCAGGCUUAUGCCGUUGAAUAUAUUAGCAUGGAAUAAUGAUAUAGGACCUUGGUACUAUUUUGUUGGUUUACGCACUAAGGUAAUGAUUAAGAGGGACGGUUGGGGGUAUUUGUAUUCCAUUGUCAGAGGUGAAAUUCUUGGAUUUUUGGAAGACAAGCUACUGCGAAAGCAUUUACCAAGGAUGUUUUCAUUAAUCAAGAACGAAAGUUAGGGGAUCGAAGAUGAUUAGAUACCAUCGUAGUCUUAACCAUAAACUAUGCCGACAAAGGAUUGGUGGAGUCU
rnacentral:rRNA from 1 species